rnacentral:rRNA from 1 species
AUUGAACGCUGGCGGCAGGCUUAACACAUGCAAGUCGAGCGAGCGGCGGACGGGUGAGUAAUGUCUGGGAAACUGCCUGAUGUAGGGGGAUAACUACUGGAAACGGUAGCUACUACCGCAUACCAUCAGAUGUGCCCAGAUGGGAUUAGCUAGUAGGUGUGGUAAUGGCUCACCUCGGCGACGAUCCCUAGCUGGUCUGAGAGGAUGACCAGCCACACUGAAACGGAGACACGGUCCAGAAGCCAACGGGAGGCAGCAGUGGGAAAGAUUGCACAAUGGGCGCAAGCCGGAAGAGGCCAUGCGGCGUGUGUGAGGAGGGCCUUCGGGUUGUAAAGCACUUUAAGCGAGGAGGCGUUACUCGAAGAAGAAGCACCGGCUAACUCCGUGCCAGCAGCCGCGGUAAUAC